rnacentral:rRNA from 1 species
UACGGGAGGCAGCAGCUAAGAAUCUUCCGCAAUGGGCGAAAGCCUGACGGAGCGACGCCGCGUGAACGAAGAAGGUCGUGAGGUUGUAAAGUUCUUUUCGGGAGGGGGAAUGACCGUGGCAGGGAAUGGCCGCGGGAUGACGUGAAUCCCGGAAUAAGCCCCGGCUAACUACGUGCCAGCAGCCGCGGUAACACGUAGGGGGCGAGCGUUGUUCGGAAUCAUUGGGCGUAAAGGGCGUGCAGGCGGCACUGCAAGUCCGGCGUGAAAGACCCCGGCCCAACCGGGGGGGUGCGCUGGAAACUGCGGUGCUUGAGUACAGGAGGGGAUGCCGGAAUUCCAGGUGUAGGGGUGAAAUCUGUAGAUAUCUGGAAGAACACCGAUGGCGAAGGCAGGCAUCUGGCCAUGUACUGACGCUGAGACGCGAAGGUGCGGGGAGCAAACAGGUUUAGAUACCCUGGUAGUCCGCACAGUAAACGAUGUGCACCAGGUGGCGGGGGUAGAACCCUCGGUACCGUAGCAAACGCAUUAAGUGCACCGCCUGGGGAGUAUGCUCGCAAGGGUGAAACUCAAAGGAAUUGACGG